rnacentral:rRNA from 1 species
UGUCUAAGUAUAAGCAAUUAUACAGCGAAACUGCGAAUGGCUCAUUAAAUCAGUUAUCGUUUAUUUGAUAGUACCUUACUACAUGGAUAACCGUGGUAAUUCUAGAGCUAAUACAUGCUAAAAAUCCCGACUUCGGAAGGGAUGUAUUUAUUAGAUUAAAAACCAAUGCCCUUCGGGGCUCUCUGGUGAUUCAUGAUAACUUCUCGAAUCGCACGGCCUUGCGCCGGCGAUGGUUCAUUCAAAUUUCUGCCCUAUCAACUUUCGACGGCUGGGUCUUGGCCAGCCGUGGUGACAACGGGUAACGGGGAAUA